rnacentral:miRNA from 14 species
ACCGUAUCACGUGUGGCCAAAGU